ACUUAAGCGCAGAAUCUCCAGGUUAGAAAGGACCUAGAAAGGACGGCUGGCUUAAUGGUCCUGAAAUUUUGCCUUACAGGGGAACUCGUGAAGGAGUCCAAGACUACAGCUUUCUGAGGCCCAGCCUCCUGAAAUGGAAAAUGCCAACAAUGGAAAACACCAGGAUUCUGUAUUUAACAAAAUCACCGCAGGUCACCUGGUGCUGGUUUAGAAACCAUGGCUUACGUGGAACCCCUCCAAGAGCACGGAGCAGGAGGCACGUUCAUCAGCUGCUGAGGGGACAGAUGUGCACUGUAAAUAAAUGGGCCAUGGAUGAGAAAAGCAACCCCCUUCAGAGCAGUUGAGCUGGGAGGAGGUGCUGGGAAAUCCUGGAGUCUGUUUUUGCCAGUAAGUCCUUGAGUUUAAGUAUGGAAGCUGGAAAAAGCCCCAACUGGAGCAGGCUCAGCGUGAGCCAGCCGUGUGACCUUGGGCAAGCCGUGCCCUAUCUCCUGGCCUCAGUUUCCCAUCUGUAAAAUAGGAGUGCAGGCUGGUUGAUCUCUAAGGUGCUUCUACGACACCUGGGCACUUACCUACCAUCCUUUUUGAUGCGGACGUGCUGCAAUUCUAAGUGUUCUCCUUUAUCUUAAUGUUUUAAUAGAAUGCUUUACAGACCCAGUGCUUGUCGCAUGGAACCUGCUCUCAGUCACAUUCUCCCCCAUCCCGCCCCCGAGCUGUGUGACUGCCCACAGUACUCAGAGAAUUCCGAGAUGAUUCUUGGGCUGGAAAAGCAACUUCCAAGAAGGUGAGGGUAAUUCUACCUGCUGCCUGCUACUGCGGAAGGUGACCAGAGAAGACUCCAUCACUGGCAAAGACAGAAGGUUUUCCAGUGACCGUGCUCACCUGGCCCUGAGUCGUGGCCACUGUUGGCAGGGGAGGCAGGUAACGGCCAUCAUAGUUGGCACCGGCGUGGGCUGCUCAGGCCCCAGGGUGACCCGUGACAGGAGGCCCAGCAAGGCAAGGCAGCAGGAGAAGCAGCAGCAUCUCAUGGGCCGGAAGUGAUCAAGUGUUCACCACGACUGAAAAGGAACCAAAAGAGAACAGUUUCGGUAAAAGAGCCAAUGCCUAGGAACCAAGGAAAAGGUUUUAUUGGGCUGUUGUUAGGGUCAAUUAAAUUCAGUGGAGGGACGGUUACUGAGAACCUCCUACGGGUCAGAAACUGAGCCCAGCUUUAGGAAUUCAAAGAUAAACACGGCACGGUCCAUUCUUUAGGUGUUUAUAAUCUGGUAAAGAAGUUCUCCAGAGGAUGUCUGUGUCUUUCCAGCUGGGACAGCACAGCGUGGGGCCGGGGGAGCUUACAGGGUCUCGGGCAGUAGGAGAGGAAGGUAGAGAAGGUGACGUGAGUAGGACUUUGCUAGGAGAAGAAGGGAGUGGACAGGCCUUCCUGGCAGAAGAGACACAAUUAGCAAAGACAAGGAGGUGUGUAGAAACGUGGUGCCUUUGGGAACCGAGAGCAGGUUGGAGGCAUGAAGGGUAAUAGGUACACAGCAGGGAGAGGGGUUUAGAGGGGUACAGUUUCAGAUUUCAGACCUAGCUAGGGAGCUGGGCUAUGUGUGUGUGUAAGGGCUUUAGCACAUGGAGUCUCUUGUUAAAUACUCACAUUUGUGUUUGAGAAAUACCAUCCUAGAGAAAACAUGGAGGACGAGUGGGCAGAGGGCAGGAAUGGAGCUGGGACCAUAUUAGGAAGUUAGGGGGGAGAAGGGUGGUGGUCGAAAGGCCAGGCCACCCUGUGUCUGGAUGUGGCCAGUUGUGAAAGGGAGGUGUGAAAAAUCAUUCUUGGUUUUCUGGCUGGAUCAAGGGACUCCAGAGCUGCCGCCCCUGCCCCGCCACCCCCGACCCCUCACCCUUCACCCCCUCCCGCCCCCUCCUCUAAGUCUGUAUUAGUUGGGCUGGUGGCACCCUGCUCUCUGCUUCUCCAACAGUCAUGCCAGAUGACUUGGAAACAGGUGGCUGAGUGGCACACUUGAAGGAACAGAGAGUUCUGAGAGGCGCCCAUCAGAGGAAAGUACUUAAAAAUAAACUGGCAAAACUCUUUUCAGAACUGUGUAUUAUUUAGGACUAUUCAUCUGGGAAACAAGUACAUAUAUAUAAAGGUGAACCGUUACCCACAUACUGAAAUGUACAACGAAACUCUGUGAUAGAUCCCAGAGCACACCUCGCUGUGACCAUCAUGCCGUGCUAGAAAUGUGGGCAACGCUGCCAGCACCCCGGAAGGAAGCCCCCUUCCCGUUCAGACCCCCCUUCCCUCCACUCCCCCCACCCUCCCCCCGCCCCCAGGAGAACCACAUCCUCACGAAAGCACUUGAAAAGAAACCGCUCAUUUGGAAAUUGCGUCAAUUAAAAAAAAAACAAAAGCCCAUCUUCCUUAUUUUCCUUUUUCCAAUUUUAGCUUAGUUUCUCCUCAUCUUAGUCUGACUGACUUUGGCGGGGGUGGGGGUGGGGGGUGUCCUGAAAUGGUCAUUUGGUUCAGUCCCUACGGUAGUCACAGAACCGCGGUCCGGGCUGUCCUCCUGUCUGCAUCUAUAUGACUGAGCUGCUGUCUUCGUCCCUUCAUCAUCUCUGUGACUUUCUGUGGCUUCUGCAGCUGUGUCUACGGAAAGGCCAUGCAUCCUGCCAGCGGCAUUUGCUCGUGUCCACAGUGGUGGUUCUGGCUCUCAGUCUCCCUGGAGGCUGUAGGCAGGCAUUGGUGUGGCUGUCAAAUUCACACCUGUGGGUCUCUCCACAAGGCUGCCUCCUGACCCGGCAGCCAGCUUCUCCUAGAGCAAGUGAACCAUGAGAGCAUGAGAGAGAGCCUCACAUGGAAGCCACAGUCUUUUGGUAAC